AGUGAACGCUGGCGGUAGGCCUAACACAUGCAAGUCGAACGGCAGCACAGUAAGAGCUUGCUCUUACGGGUGGCGAGUGGCGGACGGGUGAGGAAUACAUCGGAAUCUACUUUUUCGUGGGGGAUAACGUAGGGAAACUUACGCUAAUACCGCAUACGACCUACGGGUGAAAGCAGGGGAUCUUCGGACCUUGCGCGAUUGAAUGAGCCGAUGUCGGAUUAGCUAGUUGGCGGGGUAAAGGCCCACCAAGGCGACGAUCCGUAGCUGGUCUGAGAGGAUGAUCAGCCACACUGGAACUGAGACACGGUCCAGACUCCUACGGGAGGCAGCAGUGGGGAAUAUUGGACAAUGGGCGCAAGCCUGAUCCAGCCAUACCGCGUGGGUGAAGAAGGCCUUCGGGUUGUAAAGCCCUUUUGUUGGGAAAGAAAAGCAGCAGGUUAAUACCCCGCUGUUCUGACGGUACCCAAAGAAGAGGCACCGGCUAACUUCGU
rnacentral:rRNA from 1 species